rnacentral:rRNA from 1 species
CGCGGGUGCUUACACAUGCAGUCGUACGAUGAACCGCUUUCGGGCGGGGAUUAGUGGCGAACGGGUGAGUAACACGUGGGCAAUCUGCCCYGCACUCUGGGACAAGCCCUGGAAACGGGGUCUAAUUACCGGAUAUGACUGUCCAUCGCAUGGUGGAUGGUGUAAAGCUCCGGCGGUGCAGGAUGAGCCCGCGGCCUAUCAACUUGUUGGUGAGGUAGUGGCUCACCAAGGCGACGACGGGUAGCCGGCCUGAUAGGGCGACCGGCCCCACUGGUACUGAUACACGGCCCAGACUCCUACGGGAGGCAGCAGUGGGGAAUAUUGCACAAUGGGCGAAAGCCUGAUGCAGCGACGCCGCGUGAGGGAUGACGGCCUUCGGGUUGUAAACCUCUUUCCUGGGGAAGAAGCGAAAGUGACGGUACCUGCAGAACAAGCGCCGGCUAACUACGUGCCAGCAGCCGCGGUAAUUACGUACGGCGCAAGCGUUGUCCGGAAUUAUUGGGCGUAAAGAGCUCGUAGGCGGCUUGUCACGUCGGUUGGGAAAGCCCGGGGCUUAACCCCGGGUCUGCAGUCGAUACGGGCAGGCUAGAGUUCGGUAGGGGAGAUCGGAAUUCCUGGUGUACCGGUGAAAUGCUCAUAUAUCACGAGGAACACCGGUGGCGAAGGCUUAUCUCUGGGCCGAUACUGACGCUGAGGAGCGAAACUGAGCAAAAAAAAAAAAAAA